GAUGAACGCUGGCGGCGUGCCUAAUACAUGCAAGUCGAGCGAACGGACGAGAAGCUUGCUUCUCUGAUGUUAGCGGCGGACGGGUGAGUAACACGUGGAUAACCUCCCUAUAAGACUGGGAUAACUUCGGGAAACCGGAGCUAAUACCGGAUGAUAUUUUUAACCGCAUGGUUCAAAAUUGAAAGACGGUCUUGCUGUCACUUAUAGAUGGAUCCGCGCUGCAUUAGCUAGUUGGUAAGGUAACGGCUUACCAAGGCAACGAUGCAUAGCCGACCUGAGAGGGGGAUCGGCCACACUGGAAAUGAGACACGGGCCAGACUCCGACGGGAGGCAGCAGUAGGGAAUCUUCCGCAAUGGGCGAAAGCCUGACGGAGCAACGCCGCGUGAGUGAUGAAGGUCUUCGGAUCGUAAAACUCUGUUAUUAGGGAAGAACAUAUGUGUAAGUAACUGUGCACAUCGUGACGGUACCUAAUCAGAAAGCCACGGCUAACUACGUG
rnacentral:rRNA from 1 species